AUACUUACCUGGUGGGGGAGAUACCAUGAUCAUGAAGGUGGUUUUCCCAGGGCGAGACUUAUCCAUUGCACUCCGGAUGUGCUGACCCCUGUGAUUUCCCCAAAUGUGGGAAACUUGACCGCAUAAUUUGUGGUAGUGGGGGACUGCGUUCACACUUUCCCGGG
ensembl:snRNA U1 U1 spliceosomal RNA